GAUCAUGGCUCAGGAUGAACGCUGGCGGCGUGCUUAACACAUGCAAGUCGGAGCGAAGCACUUUGCUUUGAUUUCUUCGGGAUGAAGAGCUUAGUGACUGAGCGGCGGACGGGUGAGUAACGCGUGGGUAACCUGCCUCAUACAGGGGGAUAACAGUUAGAAAUGACUGCUAAUACCGCAUAAGGCCACAGCACCGCAUGGUGCAGGGGUAAAAAACUCCGGUGGU
rnacentral:rRNA from 1 species